CAGCCAACCUGUGAUCGCCCAUCAAAGCACUGUCCUUUCUAACAACCACCAAAAACAACCAGCUUCAACCUUCAAAGUUCAAACGCCCACUUGCUUUCAUCGCCGCUUGGCGGAGUUCCCGACGCUCUGCCCCUCUCUUUCCUCUUCUAUAGAAACCCCACUAAGACCCAGCCUUUCUCUUCACCGCCCUCUCUACAAAUCCCCUAAAACUAGAAGACCAGAGACGAGUGCAACAUAAAGAAAUGGCCUUGGCC
rnacentral:misc_RNA from 1 species